GUGCUCGCUUCGACAGCACAUAUACUAAAAUUGGAAUGAUACAGAGAAGAUUUAGCAUGCCCCCUGCGCAAGGAUGACACGCAAAUUAAUUAAAGAGGGAGCCAGAGUAAU